UCUGCUCAGCGUUGCCAUAGCAAUAAAGCAAAGAAGCUACGGUUGCUUUACUGUUUAGACGUGCACGGGGGGCGGGGGCAGUGUGGGAGGGGGUGUUUUGCUUUCUUCAAAGGAAAAUGGACUGAAAAUAAUUGAGAAAUAAAAAUGACCAUAAAGAGGCGAUGUUUACAUGUCUGUGAACACAUCGCUCUCUGAUGAUGAUGACGGGGAUGAAGGCAGGUGAGCGCCUGUCAGCAGACGCUGCUGCGGGAGUGUGAUUAGAAGGCGGCUCCGGAGCCAUGCUAAUGAGGCGUUACAUAAAUGUUGCAUCGGUAUUCUGAUCAGCUGCAGGAUUUAAUGAGGCUCCAUGAGGCUCUGCAGCACUUUGAUGCUGGGAAGCAUCAGCAGAAAGUGCCUUCAGGGACAUCAAGGACAUCAGGACGCUUCAUCUGCACCACCACCAGACCCUUCAACUGUCAGUAACCGUGUUGGUUCAGAGCGGAGCGUCUGGGCCUCUGCCGGACCCCCACAGAGCAGAUGAGGCAGGUUCUGAUGGAGGAUCAGAGGCUCCUUUCUACAGUCCUGGUCUCCAUGGUAACCAAGAUGGGCCGCCUCCUCUGACCUGCAGGGGGUUUGAUCCAAUCAGAGAGCCUGGAUGUGAAAGACACAUGUAAACCGGUACCGAGGGUUCCGUGGACCUCCAGACACAUGUGGACCGGUACCAGGGGUUCCGCCGGGCCUCCAGACUUAUAUGGACCAGUACUGGGGCUUCGUCGGACCUCCAGACACAUGUAGACCGGUACCAGGGGUUCAGCUGGACCUCUAGACACAUGUGGACCGGUACCAGGGGUUCAGCUGGACCUCUAGACACAUGUGGACCGGUACCAGGGGUUCCACCGGACCUCAGAGUCCCAGACAGACACACAAACACAGUGUGUGUCUCUUACUGGCAGAGAACAUUCUUUAGGCGGUCCAGGAUGGUUCUGUCGGGUCCGCUGUGGGAGGAGGGCCGUCGGUCCUGCAGGUUCUGAACGGUGAUGCGGGUCAGUGUUGUGUAACACUGCAGCUCCAGAGCAGCUGAGGUCUGCAGAGUUUGAUCGACUGUGACUCCACCCUCAGGAGUGAUGCAUAAUUCAGGAAGUGUUCCGGUUGUGUUCAUCCUGUGUCUGUUUGUGUAUUUGUGAGGGUCAGUAAGGAGUUGUGUGUUUUUGUGCUCUUGUUACACAUGAAUGCGUUUUGUGUUAAACAUGCU